AUUGAACGCUGGCGGCAGGCCUAACACAUGCAAGUCGAGCGGUAGCAGGGAGCUUGUUCCUGGAUUCAGCGCCGGAGGCGGGCGUAAUGCUUAUGUAUCUGACACUUCGUGGUGGAUAAGGUUAGCUAAUGGGCGCUAUUACCAAAUCCGCCUAGCGUCGGAAAGCGAGGGAUGUUCGGAUUCCACGCUCUCACCUUAGCCUAGGCCGGAUUAGCUAGUAGGUGGGGUAAGGGCUCACCUAGGCGACGAUCCCUAGCUGGUCUGAGAGGAUGAGCAGGCACACUGGAACUGAGACACGGUCCAGACUCCUACGGGAGGCAGCAGUGGGGAAUAUUGCACAAUGGGCGCAAGCCUGAUGCAGCCAUGCCGCGUGUGUGAAGAAGGUCUUCGGGUUGUAAAGCACUUUCAGUGGGGAGGAAGGGCAUUAAGUUAAUACCUUGCUGUAUUGACGUUACCAGCAGAAGAAGCACCGGCUAACUUCGUG
rnacentral:rRNA from 1 species